rnacentral:rRNA from 1 species
UCGGGAAUUUUGCGCAAUGGACGAAAGUCUGACGCAGCAACGCCGCGUGAGGGAUGACGGCCUUCGGGUUGUAAACCUCUUUUGUCAGGGACGAUGAUGACGGUACCUGACGAAUAAGCCACGGCUAACUACGUGCCAGCAGCCGCGGUAAUACGUAGGUGGCAAGCGUUGUCCGGAUUUACUGGGCGUAAAGAGCGCGCAGGCGGUCGAUUUAGUCGCGUGUGAAAGCCCCCGGCUCAACUGGGGAGGGUCACGCGAUACUGAUCGACUCGAAGGCAGGGGAGGGUAGUGGAAUUCCCGGUGUAGUGGUGAAAUGCGUAGAUAUCGGGAGGAACACCAGUGGCGAAGGCGACUACCUGGCCUGUUCUUGACGCUGAGGCGCGAAAGCUAGGGGAGCAAACGGG